rnacentral:misc_RNA from 1 species
UUGUUGUUUUAGUAUGAUUUACAUUCGUCACUUUGGGUAUAAAAGGUACCAUUUUCACAGGGUAAGGAUGAAGUGGGCAGCUCUACGCGAGCGCCGAUUCACUAGUGAUCCUUCCGCAGGUUCACCUACGGAAA